GGCUAGAGGUGCAGUGGCCUAAUGGUUAAACACAUUGGACUCCAACUCGAGCGGUCCAGGUUCGAGCGCUGGCUGGGGUCA